AUACGGCCAUAUUACUUUGAAAGUACAGCUCUCGUACGAUCACCGAAGUUAAGCAACGUCGUGGCUUGUUAGUAGCUAGAUGGGUAACCGUUUGGGAAUACCAGGUGUUGUAA